AGAGUUUGAUCAUGGCUCAGGAUGAACGCUGGCGGCGUGUCUAAGGCAUGCAAGUCGAAUGCGCUUCGCUUCGCGAAGCUAGUAAAAAGUAUAAAGUUAUAAGUAUAAAGUUUUUUAAAUAAAUUACUUUCUACUUUCUACUUUUAACUUUAUGACUGGCUCCACGAAGUGGAGCGCAUGGCAAACGGGAGAGUAACACAUUGGUAACCUACCCUGAGGUCGAGCAUAACCCGGAGAAAUCCGGAGUAAUACUCGAUAAAAGUGGGGGGACGCAAGUCAUUCCUACUUAAAGCUCCGGCGCCUCGGGGAGGGGCCUAUGGCCUAUCAGCUAGAAGGUAUGGGUAAAAGCCUACCUUGGCUAUGACGGGUAGCGGGUGUGAGAGCAUGACCCGUCUCACUGGGACUGAGACACUGCCCAGACUCCUACGGGAGGCUGCAGUCAAGAAUCUUCCUCAAUGGGCGAAAGCCUGAAGGAGCGACGCCGCGUGUAUGAAGAAACCCUUCGGGGCGUAAAAUACUUUUAUUAGGGACGAAACUAUGACGGUACCUAAUGAAUAAGGGGCUGCUAACCUCGUGCCAGCAGCAGCGGUAAUACGAGGGCCCCGAGCGUUAUCCGGAUUUAUUGGGCGUAAAGGGUCCGUAGGCGGUUUGUGGCAUCUCCUGUUAAAUCCCAGGGCUCAACUCUGGGGCCGCGGGAGAUAUGGACAAACUAGAGGCCGGUAGAGGCAAGCGGAAUUGCUGGUGUAGGGGUUAAAUCCGUUAAUAUCAGCAGGAACACCAAAUGCGAAGGCAGCUUGCUAGAACGAGCCUGACGCUAAAGGACGAAAGCGUGGGGAGCGAAUGGGAUUAGAUACCCUAGUAGUCC
rnacentral:rRNA from 1 species